GCACGAUAAUGAGGCUGUGCGGCAAAUUUUACUCAGAUUCCCGUUCGGUGAAAAGCUCGCUUACAACGCUCUCGUAAAACACGAGACCAGCCACGGGAUUUUGGUAGCAUCAUUUUGUCGGCCUCGUAUGGCUUACAGUGCAAUUCAUCAUGGCGGAAUCGUGGGACGCACUCAACCAUCGAAGCUUGCGGGACAUUGACAGACAUCACACAUCAGUCUCCAUUGCAUUCCUGGAUCAACAUUUGCUGGACUCCAUGCCUUUGUUCGUUUUAAUGGUUAUUUAUUUGAAGACUCAUCAGCAGUUUUGCUCCACGUUGGAACAAAUAAUCUUAAACGGGGAGUUUGGGAGGACGAGACGGAUUUUGUUAAGCUUAAUCCUUUCAAUAAAUAAAAAUCUCUGAUACUUCCAAAGUUCCAAGGUGUGAUUCCAGAGCUUCACACGAACAAAGCAUUUAUUAUAUUAAUAGAAAACUGACUGAACAACAAUAAUUUGUUGUUGUUUUUCUGACGCACUCAACCAUCGAAGCUUGCGGAACAUGGACAGACGUCAAUCUUCGUUGUGUGAAGUAGCAUUUACCGAGGAAGAAGAAAAAAGAACUGUCACCUUUAUACAAUUUAACAAUAUUUAACAAUAAUAAUACUUUUAUUCUCAGCGACACAUUUUAUGCGUGUGAUGGUCUCAAUAUAAAUGUCAAAGUCAGUUCAUAAAUAAAAUAUAAA